rnacentral:rRNA from 2 species
UGGGGAAUAUUGCACAAUGGGCGGAAGCCUGAUGCAGCGACGCCGCGUGGGGGAUGACGGCCUUCGGGUUGUAAACCUCUUUCAGUGCAGAACAAGGCUCUUUGUGGGUUGAGGGUAUGCGCAGAAGAAGCGCCGGCUAACUACGUGCCAGCAGCCGCGGUAAUACGUAGGGCGCGAGCGUUGUCCGGAUUUAUUGGGCGUAAAGAGCUCGUAGGCGGUUUGUCGCGUCUGCUGUGAAAUCCUCUGGCUUAACUGGGGGCGUGCAGUGGGUACGGGCAGACUGGAGUGCGGUAGGGGAGACUGGAAUUCCUGGUGUAGCGGUGGAAUGCGCAGAUAUCAGGAGGAACACCGGUGGCGAAGGCGGGUCUCUGGGCCGCAACUGACGCUGAGGAGCGAAAGCAUGGGGAGCGAACAGG